rnacentral:sRNA from 1 species
UUCCAGUUUCACCGGGACAGGUGGGCGA